UGGUUCUUUUUAUUGGAGAACGAUAUUUAGAAACCAAGAUCUGGGAGCUAGGUGUGCUCAUUGAUACUAGGAUGUCACUGCUUCUAGACCCUCUCAGCAGAGUUUGGAAAUAUUGUUUUGGCUAUUCAGGGUCCCUUGAGAGUCCAUAUGCAUUUUAGGAUAGAUUUUUCUAUUUUUGCAAAAAACAUCAUUGGAACUUUUACCUCUUUGAGUCAACAGUGUUGCCCAGCACAAAGGAAUUUUCCACCUUCUCAAACUCAGUAGAGCAAAGAUGAAACUUCAUUCCCCCUGCAAGCCCUACUGCCCCAGAGAAAAGCAAAAACAAUGGAGACUGAGAUCUCAAAAUUAUCAAGAGGCUGAAGCUCCCCAACUCCCGCUUCCUGGAGCCGAAUCCACCAUUCAUCACAGGGACAGACAGAGGACACCUGCAUCUCCCCUAACUCAGCUAAACGCAGGCUGAUGGGAGGACGCCGAACUGCAAAGCUGCAGCUCCCCUCCCCCACCUAAAACCUUGUAAACUGUAAUCGUUAAUUGGCAGCAGUUGCCGUCCUCUCCCCAAGGCCAAAUUUCAGGUGAUGAGAGAAGAGUGGUGGUUGAUGGAGCCUUAAAUCUCCUGCUGUAGAUAGAGAUGACAGCCGGCUUGGCGCCAGAAGACUGGGAUCCCUCCUCCAACAAAUAAUCAGUCACCAAGGAUAUAUUCUUUCCCACAGACUUUCCUUUAAAAACCUCAACUCCUA